rnacentral:rRNA from 1 species
AACAUUUCGAAAGGAAUGCUAAUACCGCAUACGUCCUACGGGAGAAAGCAGGGGAUCUUCGGACCUUGCGCUAAUAGAUGAGCCUAAGUCGGAUUAGCUAGUUGGUGGGGUAAAGGCCUACCAAGGCGACGAUCUGUAGCGGGUCUGAGAGGAUGAUCCGCCACACUGGGACUGAGACACGGCCCAGACUCCUACGGGAGGCAGCAGUGGGGAAUAUUGGACAAUGGGCGCAAGCCUGAUCCAGCCAUGCCGCGUGUGUGAAGAAGGCCUUAUGGUUGUAAAGCACUUUAAGCGAGGAGGAGGCUACUGAAGUUAAUACCUUCAGAUAGUGGACGUUACUCGCAGAAUAAGCACCGGCUAACUCUGUGCCAGCAGCCGCGGUAAUACAGAGGGUGCAAGCGUUAAUCGGAUUUACUGGGCGUAAAGCGCGCGUAGGCGGCUAAUUAAGUCAAAUGUGAAAUCCCCGAGCUUAACUUGGGAAUUGCAUUCGAUACUGGUUAGCUAGAGUGUGGGAGAGGGAGUGUGGUUGAAUUUCCAGGGGGUAGCGGUUGAAAUGCCGUAGAGAUCCUGGGAGGAAUACCGAUGGCGAAGGCAGCCAUCUGGCCUAACACUGACGCUGAGGU